rnacentral:misc_RNA from 1 species
CGAAAUGCGAUAAGUAAUGUGAAUUGCAGAAUUCAGUGAAUCAUCGAAUCUUUGAACGCACCUUGCGCUCCUUGGUAUUCCUUGGAGCAUGCCUGUUUGAGUAUCAUGAAAUCUUCAAAGUAAAUCUUUUGUUAACUCAAUUGGUUGCUACUUUGGUAUUGGAGGUCUUUGCAGCUUCACACCUGCUCCUCUUUGUUCAUUAGCUGGAUCUCAGUGUUAUGCUUGGUUCCACUCGGCGUGAUAAGUUAUCUAUCGCUGAGGACACUGUAAAAGGUGGCCAAGGUAAAUGCAGAUGAACCGCUUCUAAUAGUCCAUUGACUUGGACAAUACUUUUAUGAUCUGAUCUCAAAUCAGGUAGGACUACCCGCUGAACUUAAGC